ACAUACCUACGCGACAAAUGUCCGGCAUGUUUGAACCUUUUCGGCGAAAAGAUAGAAUUUACUGGGUUACUCCAAUGGUCCAAUCAAUAUGCACAGAAACAAGGUCAGUGCAUUUUUCGUACUUCACACGAAACUAAGAGGAGACAAGAAGUUUUUGAUAAGGUAAGUACUUCCGGAUGCGCAUGCCCACUUUCGAUGUCUUAGUUACAAAAACCGCUCAUGAACUUUGCUUAUAAGGACUUCAAUGUCUGCUUUCUGCCAUGACUUAUAAACAAAAAGUUUACGAAAUUGCUAACAAAAUCAAAAUGCGAAAUUUAUUGUGAAUAUGAAAUAAUUUAAAGAGGAGCCGUGAGACGACCAGUGGCGGCCAGUGACGGUAUAAGAAUGGUUCGUGUCGCGAAACACCUGCCCAAAUUCCAACUAUUGGACGCAGAUGAGAAAUGGAGCUGCGGAGAAAAGAGGAGACAAAAGCGACCGAGCCGGCGGCCAGCGGAAAAAGCAUCCACGGGAGGAAAACUCAAGAAAAAAUCUCUGAGGAAUUCACAUCAAUUUUUCAUCAUCCUAAUUUAUAACAAGUCAAGAAAUGUCCCAUAGUAUUCCUGAUUAUAUUUCUUCGUUAUUAUAUUA